UACGUAGGGGGGCUAGCGUUGUCCGGAAUCAUUGGGCGUAAAGCGCGUGUAGGCGGUCCGGUAAGUCCGCUGUGAAAGUCGGGGGGCUCAACCCUCGGAUGCCGGUGGAUACUGUCGGGCUUGAGUACGGAAGAGGCGAGUGGAAUUCCUGGUGUAGCGGUGAAAUGCGCAGAUAUCAAGGAGGAACACCAAUUGCGAAGGCAGCUCGCUGGGACGUUACUGACGCUGAGACGCGAAAGCGUGGGGAGCAAACAGG
rnacentral:rRNA from 1 species